AUCUGUGGAUCUUGCCUUUGGUGAUUAAAUAGGGGGCUGGAUGCCUGAGGAAAUUGGCCCAAGUGAAAAGGCAUCUUGAAAAUAUUUUGCUUCAAAAGAGCUUGUGUGUGCUAUUUAAAACUAACUUCUAACAUGAGGUUUCGCAGGGUAUGUUCGCACCAGCUGAAACAGAAGCAUUUAGAAAGUUUCCAGAGAAGUCUGUGAAAAAGGAAGCUUGAGUGCAUUUUAUCAGGGCUGCGUCUGGAUCCUUUCUUCUUCUCUGAGUGUGAGGAGCUUCAUGAUUCAUCAAGGCGAGCUCCAUCGACGGAUGGGGAAUAAGCACCCUGCACCUCCUGCCAUCCAGGUCUAUAUUGAUUGUAAAUUUUGAGGGGAAUCAACACCAAUUACUGAGGGUGAGUUAUUAAACU
rnacentral:lncRNA from 1 species